rnacentral:rRNA from 1 species
UACGGAGGGUGCAAGCGUUGUUCGGAUUUAUUGGGCGUAAAGCGCGUGUAGGCGGUUUCUUAAGUCUGAUGUGAAAGCCCUGGGCUCAACCCAGGAAGUGCAUUGGAUACUGGGAAACUUGAAUACGGGAGAGGGUAGUGGAAUUCCUAGUGUAGGAGUGAAAUCCGUAGAUAUUAGGAAGAACACCGGUGGCGAAGGCGGCUACCUGGACCGAUAUUGACGCUGAGACGCGAAAGCGUGGGGAGCAAACAGG